rnacentral:rRNA from 1 species
GACGAACGCUGGCGGCGUGCCUAACACAUGCAAGUCGAACGGAGUUGAAAGGAACUUGCUUUUUUCAACUCAGUGGCGGACGGGUGAGUAACGCGUGAGUAACCUGCCUUUCAGAGGGGGAUAACGUUCUGAAAAGAACGCUAAUACCGCAUAAGAUUGUAGUUUCGCAUGGGACAGCAAUCAAAGGAGCAAUCCGCUGAAAGAUGGACUCGCGUCCGAUUAGAUAGUUGGCGGGUAACGGCCCACCAAGUCGACGAUCGGUAGCCGGACUGAGAGGUUGAUCGGCCACAUUGGGACUGAGACACGGCCCAG